rnacentral:rRNA from 1 species
CCCUUAGAUGUCCUGGGCCGCACGCGCGCUACACUGAGUGUCUGAGAUACGAGUCUGCCUGGUCCGGCAAGGUCUAGGUAAUCGCUAAAAGACACAUCAUGCUUGGGAUAGAUUAUUGCAAAUAUUAAUCUUGAACGAGGAAUUCCUAGUAAGCGCAAGUCAACAGCUUGCGUUGAUUACGUCCCUGCCCUUUGUACACACCGCCCGUCGCUCCUACCGAUUGAAUGAUCCGAUGAAUAUCAUGGAUUGAGGAUGCAAGUAGGUUAGCCUAUCUUCAUCUUCGAGAAGUGAAGUAAAUCUUAUCAUUUAGAGGAAGGAGAAGUCGUAACA